rnacentral:lncRNA from 1 species
GCCCCAGUUACUUUUCCUGUGCUAGCUGUGCUUUGCAUCCUUCUGCUGUAAUUUGUCAGAAAGCCGUAACUACUGUACAUGUCGAGUUCUAUGAAUGUUCCUAGCAAACGUGAAAUCUAGCAAUGGUCUUGGGGGCCUCCUGACAUUUUACCCUGAGCGUCAUUUGGGCAGCGGAUUUGUUUACAUAUUGACUAUCUGGAGCAUUGCUCAGGCAACCACUAGAGAAAAUGCCCCUAUAAAAUGAAGGAGUAAACCAUAAAAGGUAUGGACACAGGAAUUAGAGCUUCAACACAGCAAACAAUAUAGGGAAUUUCCAGGAUGCCAGCAAAGACCAGUCUUAAGCCAUGAAACAGAUCUACAGAGCAAUCAAAACUAAAUCAAGAAGCAUGAAGGCUCUAGGAAGGGUGCCUCAGGAAAAUAACCAAAUGAAUUGUCACAGAGAGAAAGCAAAGGAGAGGAUAUUAAUAUGUAUGCUACAGAUUUAAAUAAAAUGACCAUUGUAAUUUCUAAAAUAUUUUAUUUCUGUUUAAUAAAUUGAUC